GGGCAGGUGUCUGAGUGGUUGAAGGAACCGGUCUUGAAAACCGGCGAACCCGCAAGGGUUUCGUGGGUUCGAAUCCCACCCUGCCCG
rnacentral:tRNA from 1 species